GCCAGUGUGGCGUAGUGGUUUGAGUAUUGGACUAUGACUCUGAAGACCAGAGUUCGAAUCCCUGCUGAGCUA